rnacentral:rRNA from 1 species
UACGUAGGGUGCGAGCGUUAAUCGGAAUUACUGGGCGUAAAGCGUGCGUAGGUGGUUCGUUGUGUCUGUGGUGAAAUCCCCGGGCUUAACCUGGGAAUGGCCAUGGAAACUGGCGAGCUCGAGUCCGGAAGAGGAGUGUGGAAUUCCUGGUGUAGCGGUGAAAUGCGCAGAUAUCAGGAGGAACACCAAUGGCGAAGGCAGCACUCUGGGACGGUACUGACGCUGAGACGCGAAAGCGUGGGGAGCGAACAGG